rnacentral:rRNA from 1 species
UACGGAGGAGGCGAGCGUUGUUCGGAAUCACUGGGCUUAAAGCGCGUGUAGGCGGGUUGGCAGGUGUCCUGUGAAAGCCCUCGGCUCAACCGAGGAAUUGCAGGGCAAACCGCUAAUCUUGAGGCUGGUAGAGGCAAGUGGAACUAUGGGUGGAGCGGUGAAAUGCGUAGAUAUCCAUGGGAACGCCGGUGGCGAAAGCGGCUUGCUGGGCCAGUCCUGACGCUGAGACGCGAAAGCGUGGGGAG